rnacentral:tRNA from 2 species
UACCCGGUGGUGUAACGGUAGCACAAGGGACUUUGGUUCCCUUUGUCUAGGUUCGAAUCCUAGCCGGGUAAUCA